GAUGAACGCUAGCGAUAGGCUUAACACAUGCAAGUCGAGGGACCGGCGCACGGGUGCGUAACGCGUAUGCAACUUGCCUCACAGAGGGGGAUAACCCGACGAAAGACGGACUACUACCGCGUACUGUGAGAUAGGCAUGCGUCCCAUUAGCUAGUUGGUGAGGUAACGGCUCACCAAGGCAACGAGGGGUAGGGGAACUGAGAUGUUGACACCCCACACUGGUACUGCGACACGGACCACACUCGUAGGGGAGGCAGGAGUGGGGAAUAUUGGGCAAUGGGCGAGAGCCUGACCCAGCCGAGUCGCGUGAAGGAUGACUGUGUAUUGAUUGUAAACUUCUUUUGUAGGGGAAUAUGUACCCUACGAAUAAGCAUCGGCUAACUCCGUGCCAGCAGCCGCGGUAAUAC
rnacentral:rRNA from 1 species